rnacentral:pre_miRNA from 1 species
UAGCUACUCCCUCCGAUCCAUACUAUUUGUUGCCCAAACAGAUGUAUCUAGACAUAUUUCAGUGCUAGAUACAUCCAUUUAAACGACAAAUAAUAUGCAUCGGAGGGAGUAGCAU